GACGAACGCUGGCGGCGUGCUUAACACAUGCAAGUCGAACGGUGAAGGGACUGGUUUUGCUGGUCCUGGAUGAGUGGCGAACGGGUGAGUAACACGUGAGUAACCUGCCCCCUUCUUCUGGAUAACCGCAUGAAAGUGUGGCUAAUACGGGAUAUUCUGGGUCUGUCGCAUGGUGGGCCUGGGAAAGAUUGCGCCUUUUUUGGUGUUUUUGGUGGGGGAUGGGCUCGCGGCCUAUCAGCUUGUUGGCGGGGUGAUGGCCUACCAAGGCGGUGACGGGUAGCCGGCCUGAGAGGGUGGACGGUCACACUGGGACUGAGACACGGCCCAGACUCCUACGGGAGGCAGCAGUGGGGAAUAUUGCACAAUGGGCGCAAGCCUGAUGCAGCGACGCCGCGUGAGGGAUGGAGGCCUUCGGGUUGUGAACCUCUUUCGCCAGUGAAGCAGGCCUGCCUCUUUUUGUGGGUGGGUUGACGGUAGCUGGAUAAGAAGCGCCGGCUAACUACGUG
rnacentral:rRNA from 1 species